GUCAUAUCAUGUUGAAACACCGGUUCUCGUAUGAUCCCCGAAGUUAAUCAACAUCGAACCUGGUCUGUAUCUAGAUGGGUGACUGAUUGGGAAUACUAGUUGCUGUAAG